rnacentral:snRNA from 1 species
AGCCAUGUGGUGAACACAAAGCGAACUAUUCUUUUACUAAAGAAUACCGUGUAUUCGUCCAUCGUCAUGCUAUGAUGGCAUAAUUUAAUUUUUGUUGGGUUUAGUUUUUUAAGUUG